CUGGAGACAAAGAGGAGAAGGAUAUACUGUAGUGAUAUACUGUAGUGAUAUACUGUAGUGAUAUACUGUAGUGAGGAGGAGGAUAUACUGUAGUGAUAUACUGUAGUGGAGAGGAUGAGGAUAUACUGUAGUGAUAUACUGUCGUGUUGAGGAUAUACUGUAGUGAUAUACUGUGAGGAGGAUAUAAUGUAGUGAUAUACUGUAGUGAUAUACUGUAGUGGAGAGGAGGAGGAUAUAAUGUAGUGAUAUACUGUCGUGUUGAGGAUAUACUGUAGUGAUAUUGUCGUGUUGAGGAUAUACUGUAGUGAUAUACUGUGAGGAGGAUAUAAUGUAGUGAUAUACUGUCGUGUUGAGGAUAUACUGUAGUGAUAUACUGUAGUGGAGAGGAGGAGGAUAUAAUGUAGUGAUAUACUGUCUGAUAUACUGUGAGGAUAUAAUGUAGUGAUAUACUGUCGUGUUGAGGAUAUACUGUAGUGAUAUACUGUAGUGGAGAGGAGGAGGAUAUAAUGUAGUGAUAUACUGUCGUGUUAAGGAUAUACUGUAGUGAUAUUCUGUAGUGGAGAGAGGAGGAUAUACUGUAGUGAUAUACUGUA
ensembl:lncRNA